rnacentral:rRNA from 1 species
GAUGAACGCUGGCGGCGUGCCUAAUACAUGCAAGUCGAGCGAACGGACGAGAAGCUUGCUUCUCUGAUGUUAGCGGCGGACGGGUGAGUAACACGUGGAUAACCUACCUAUAAGACUGGGAUAACUUCGGGAAACCGGAGCUAAUACCGGAUAAUAUUUUGAACCGCAUGGUUCAAAAGUGAAAGACGGUCUUGCUGUCACUUAUAGAUGGAUCCGCGCUGCAUUAGCUAGUUGGCAAGGUAACGGCUUACCAAGGCAACGAUGCAUAGCCGACCUGAGAGGGUGAUCGGCUACACUGGAACUGAGACACGGUCCAGACUCCUACGGGAGGCAGCAGUAGGGAAUCUUCCGCAAUGGGCGAAAGCCUGACGGAGCAACGCCGCGUGAGUGAUGAAGGUCUUCGGAUCGUAAAACUCUGUUAUUAGGGAAGAACAUAUGUGUAAGUAACUGUGCACAUCUUGACGGUACCUAAUCAGAAAGCCACGGCUAACUACGUG